AACUAGUUCUCUCGACUAUUUAUACUAUUAAAAACUAACGUGAUUGACAGAAUAAUCAGAUAGUUAUACUUGGCUUGCCACAUGUACCUCAUGUCGACGUACAAGAACUAGUUAUUAACAGUAAAAAUGAAUGAAGUUUUUAAUA
rnacentral:pre_miRNA from 1 species